rnacentral:lncRNA from 1 species
UUCUCUUUCAACUGUCUUCUCAGCUCUAAGACUUCUCCUCCAAGGUGGUCCUCUGAUUUCUGUCUCAACUCCAUCUCUUUCUUCAACUGAUUGUCUUUAUCUUUGAGUUGCUUCUCCAAGUCUCUGAUCUUCUUCUGAUAACUGGCUUCUGCUCUCUGCAGCCUCAGACAUUCCCUAUGAUCCGCAUCUAACAUAGACUCUAUCUCCU